rnacentral:rRNA from 1 species
ACGCACGCUGGCGGCAUGCCUCACCCAUGCCAGUCGAACGGGACCUUCGGGUCUAGUGGCGCACGGGUGCGUAACGCGUGGGAACCUGCCCUUAGGUUCGGAAUAACUCCCCGGAAGGGGUGCUAAUACCGGAUAAUGUCUUCGGACCAAAGAUUUAUCGCCUUUGGAUGGGCCCGCGUUGGAUUAGCUAGUUGGUAGGGUAAAAGCCUACCAAGGCGACGAUCCAUAGCUGGUCUGAGAGGAUGAUCAGCCACACUGGGACUGAGACACGGCCCAGACUCCUACGGGAGGCAGCAGUGGGGAAUAUUGGACAAUGGGCGAAAGCCUGAUCCAGCAAUGCCGCGUGAGUGAUGAAGGCCUUAGGGUUGUAAAGCUCUUUUACCCGGGAUGAUAAUGACAGUACCGGGAGAAUAAGCUCCGGCUAACUCCGUG